rfam:Felis catus isolate Cinnamon breed Abyssinian chromosome X, whole genome shotgun sequence.
GUCUGGGUGACUCAGUAGAUUAAGUGUCUGACUUCGGCUCAGGUCAUGAUCUCACAGAUUGUGGGUUCAAGCCCCACAUCAGGCU